UCCCUGGUGGCUCAGAUGGUAAAGUGUCUGCCUACAAUGUGGGAGACCCAGGUUCGAUCCCUGGGUUGGGAA
rfam:Ovis aries breed Texel chromosome 9, whole genome shotgun sequence.